rnacentral:tRNA from 1 species
GUGAUUGAUGACUGACCCGAACAUGACUCGUAACACCAAAAGUUACAAUUACCACAUUCACACGGUGGAAGUCGUAGGUUCGAAUCCUGCUGUGCCCACCA